GUGCUCACUUCAGCAACACAUAUACUAAAAAUGGAACAAUACAAAGAUGAUUAGCAUAGCUCCUGUACAAGGAUGACAUGCAAAUUUGUAAAGCAUUCCAGCCGGGC
ensembl:snRNA U6 U6 spliceosomal RNA